AUUGAACGCUGGCGGCAUGCCUUACACAUGCAAGUCGAACGGCAGCACGGGAGCAAUCCUGGUGGCGAGUGGCGAACGGGUGAGUAAAGUAUCGGAACGUGCCGAGUAGUGGGGGAUAACGCAGCGAAAGUUGUGCUAAUACCGCAUACGUACUGAGGUAGAAAGUGGGGGACCUUCGGGCCUCACGCUAUUCGAGCGGCCGACGUCUGAUUAGCUAGUAGGUGAGGUAAAGGCUCACCUAGGCGACGAUCAGUAGCGGGUCUGAGAGGAUGAUCCGCCACCCUGCGACUGUGACACGGCCCAGACUCCUACGGGAGGCAGCAGUGGGGAAUUUUGGACAAUGGGCGAAAGCCUGAUCCAGCCAUGCCGCGUGUCUGAAGAAGGCCUUCGGGUUGUAAAGGACUUUUGUCAGGGAGGAAAUCCCUAGUGCUAAUAACACUGGGGGAUGACAGUACCUGAAGAAUAAGCACCGGCUAACUACGUGCCAGCAGCCGCGGUAA
rnacentral:rRNA from 1 species